rnacentral:hammerhead_ribozyme from 1 species
AUCCAGCUGAAGAGUUCCAAAUAGGACGUAUGGCGUGUCCUGGAU